rnacentral:rRNA from 1 species
UACGGAAGGGGGCUAGCGUUGUUCGGAAUUGAUACGUGGGCGUAAAGGGCGCGUAGGCUGUGCUGUAAAGUCCAGGGCGUCGGAAAGGCCCGGGCUCAACCUGGGAAUGGCGCAUGAUACUGCGGCGCUGGAAGGCGGGAGAGGAUGGCGGAAUUCCCAGUGUAGAAGGUGAAAUUCGUAGAUAUUGGGAAGAACACCGGUGGCGAAGGCGGCCAUCUGGCCCGCAAUUGACGCUGAGGCGCGAAAGCG